GACGAACGCUGGCGGCGUGCCUAAUACAUGCAAGUCGUGCGGACCUUGUUGAAAGCUUGCUUUUAAAAGGUUAGCGGCGGACGGGUGAGUAACACGUGGGCAACCUGCCUGUAAGACUGGGAUAACGCCGGGAAACCGGGGCUAAUACCAGAUCGUUUUUUCCUCCGCAUGGAGGAAAAAGGAAAGGCGGCUUCGGCUGCCACUUACAGAUGGGCCCGCGGCGCAUUAGCUAGUUGGCGGGGUAAUGGCCCACCAAGGCGACGAGGCGUAGCCGACCUGAGAGGGGAAUCGGCCACAAUGGGACGAGGACACGGCCCAAACUCCUACGGGAGGCAGCAGUAGGGAAUCUUCCGCAAUGGACGAAAGUCUGACGGAGCAACGCCGCGUGAGUGAAGAAGGCCUUCGGGUCGUAAAACUCUGUUGCCGGGGAAGAACAAGUGCCGUUCGAACAGGGCGGCGCCUUGACGGUACCCGGCCAGAAAGCCACGGCUAACUACGUG
rnacentral:rRNA from 1 species